rnacentral:rRNA from 1 species
AUUGUACGCUGGCGGCAGUCUUAACACAUGCAAGUCGAGCGAGCGGCGGACGGGUGAGUAACGUCUGGCAAACUGCCUGAUGGAGGGGGAUAACUACUGGAAACCGUAGCUAAUACCGCAUACCAUCAGAUGUGCCCAGAUGGGAUUAGCUAGGGGGUGGGGUAAUGGCUCACCUAGGCGCCGAUCCCUAGCUGGUCUGAGAGGAUGACCAGCCACACUGGACCGGAGCAACGGUCCAGACUCCUACGGGAGGCAGCAGUGGGGAAUAUUGCACAAUCGGCGCAAGCCUGAUGCAGCCCUGCGGCGUGUGUGAAGAAGGCCUUCGGGUUGUAAAUCACUUUCAGCGGGGAGGCGUUACUCGCAGAAGAAGCACCGGCUAACGCCGUGCCAGCAGCCGCGGUAAUAC